AAGAUGGAGCAUGAAAUUCCUCAGAUCUUGCUUCAUCGUUCAACCUUCUACUUUUACGCGGGGUUUCAUUGCCUCUCUUCGAUAUUAUACAGAUUUUUGAGUGCAAAUUUGAAAGAUUAUUGACCAAAACAGUAGAUUUUGGUGAAGAAGAAUGUUAAUGUUGUAGAUUUUUCAGCAAAACAGCUAAUGUUGGUGAAGAUUAAUGUUAGGCGUGCGAAAUAAAGAAGAUUUGGUGAGGAUUUAGGGAAGAACAACAUAUUUGGGGAAGAUGAAUUUUUUU
rnacentral:misc_RNA from 1 species